UAGAAGUUUAGUUGGUUUGAUAAGCGAUCGCAGCGUCUUCACUCGCAAUGUUCAGAAAUACAAACUGAGAGCAUUGCUUCCAUAUUCUUCUUGUUGAGUCUGGCUCUGGGCAGUUAAGACGAAAUAAGCAGUGACAUAGAUGCAAACACCGGAGCUGUUAAAAAAUGAAAAAGCUAUUUGGAGAGAAGAAUCCAAAAUGCUCAAUUUGUGAAAGUUUUGGACAUGUAUUAAUGCGGGAUUCAUUCAGAUAAAAGCAGGAUAUUGUUCUAGCUUGGUGAAUGCCUAAAAGUACAGACUGCCCGUAUGAGUGAUUCUGACAGAUUGUGUGUUCUUCUAAUUGAUGAAAUGGCAAUAAAACAAGGAGUAACUUAUGUUCCUGAUAUUGAUUCUGUAGAUGGUUUUGGAAGUAUUGCAAAUUAUUUUUAAU